UACGGGGGGGGCAAGCGUUGUUCGGAAUUACUGGGCGUAAAGGGCUCGUAGGCGGCCAACUAAGUCAGACGUGAAAUCCCUCGGCUUAACCGGGGAACUGCGUCUGAUACUGGAUGGCUUGAGUUUGGGAGAGGGAUGCGGAAUUCCUGGUGUAGCGGUGAAAUGCGCAGAUAUCAGGAGGAACACCGAUUGCGAAGGCAGCUCGCUGGGACGUUACUGACGCUGAGACGCGAAAGCGUGGGGAGCAAACAGG
rnacentral:rRNA from 1 species